UACGUAGGGGGCAAGCGUUGUCCGGAUUUAUUGGGCGUAAAGAGCGUGUAGGCGGCUAUACAGGUCCGCUGUGAAAACUCGAGGCUCAACCUCGAGACGUCGGUGGAAACCGUAUGGCUAGAGUCCGGAAGAGGAGAGUGGAAUUCCCGGUGUAGCGGUGAAAUGCGCAGAUAUCGGGAAGAACACCCGUGGCUAAGGCGGCUCUCUAGUACGGUACUGACGCUGAGACGCGAAAGCGUGGGGAGCGAACAGG
rnacentral:rRNA from 1 species